rnacentral:tRNA from 1 species
GCGAGCGUGGCGAAAUUGGCAGACGCGUAAGACUUAGGAUCUUAUGUCUGAGACGUGCGGGUUCAAGUCCUGUCGCUCGCACCA